AGAAAUUCUGUCUUGGUCACUUGUGGGAGUAAAAGGGUUAAGUGACUAGUAUCAAAUUUCUUGUUAUAGCAUCACCUCUGAGUCAAACAUUAGGGUCAUGUGAAUAAAGAAAAUGAUCACCCACUUAAACAGCUCUGACUUGAUUAUUAAACAAAUUCUCCCUGUGAAUACCUCAGGAACUGUGCAUAGGCUCCAGUAUUGAGAAUGUAGGAAGUGAACAGUUAGUAAAAGAUGUGGGGCCUCAAGCUAUUUAUAUCAAUAUUAAUCCUAUCUGGGUUUCUCACCAGAAUUUAUUUUAAUGAUUGAAUGUCAAAUGUUUAGGAUUUUGCCAAGGAGAUGUAAUUGUACAGGAGGAGACAGUGUUUGGAAACAACACAUUAUCAAUGGCUCAGUAAGACAGUGCUAUGGGCAGAGAAAUUCCUGCAAAGUCCUAAAUGGUCUCAUUUCAACUACUAGUUCAGUAGUGUUCAUAGCUGCAAGGAUCGCUUAUAUCUCAUGGUGACAGGUAACAGCAUAUUUUACUAUUGAUUCAUUUUGACUUUGUUCAUGACAUUCUUUUCCAGUGACCUGCCCUGGGAAUUCUGCUUGUUCUUCAAAUGGUCCAGGAUUCUCACAAUGUCUUUGUAAACCAAGUUGGCAUGGUUAUAAAUGCUUAGUUAAGAGUGGAUUUCCUUGGCUGUUAAUUUUUGCUCCAGUUGGUGGAUCAACAGUAGUUUUAAUAGUUGUUAUUCUGCUCAUCCAGCGAAGAAGGCGUGGACAAAGGCCAACACAUUAUUCAGUACUCCACUGACCUAACUGACUGUUACUUAAGGCCAAGCCUUGCUGAAAAACAGCCAAUCACUGAUCUGUUCUUGGGAGGAAAUUAUCAGUACUGCUUCUCUACAUCAUAUGUGCUGUCAUGUAAUCAUUACAAAGCACUUCAGGAAAUUCUCUAUUAGACGAAGUAAAAAGUUAGGAUUCAGAUUUGA